AGAGUUUGAUCCUGGCUCAGGAUGAACGCUAGCGGCAGGCCUAACACAUGCAAGUCGAGGGGUAGCAGGAUUAAGCUUGCUUAAUUGCUGACGACCGGCGCACGGGUGCGUAACGCGUAUGCAACCUACCUUAUACUGGGGUAUAGCCCGGAGAAAUUCGGAUUAAUCCCCCAUAGUACUGUUUUACCGCAUGGUAAGACAGUUAAAGCAUUGCGGUAUAAGAUGGGCAUGCGUCCUAUUAGCUAGAUGGUGAGGUAACGGCUCACCAUGGCUACGAUAGGUAGGGGGCCUGAGAGGGUGGUCCCCCACACUGGUACUGAGACACGGACCAGACUCCUACGGGAGGCAGCAGUGAGGAAUAUUGGUCAAUGGGCGCAAGCCUGAACCAGCCAUGCCGCGUGCAGGAAGAAUGCCCUAUGGGUUGUAAACUGCUUUUAUUUGGGAAUAAACCUCUUUACGUGUAGAGAGCUGAAGGUACCAAAUGAAUAAGCACCGGCUAACUCCGUGCCAGCAG
rnacentral:rRNA from 1 species